rnacentral:rRNA from 1 species
AACCUGGUUGGGUGGUCUGCCUUCACGGUACGUACUGCUUGGCCGGGUUCUACCUCUUGGUGAGCCAGCAUGCCCUUCACUGGGUGUGUCGGGGAACCAGGACUUUUACCUUGAGAAAAUUAGAGUGUUCAAAGCAGGCACAUGCCUGAAUACAUUAGCAUGGAAUAACAAAGUAGGACG